rnacentral:snRNA from 1 species
AUAUACAUCCUCAUAUUACG